GGGCGGUUCACCACACGUGUUAUCAGAUUAAAACUCUCUUUCAAUCUCUCCGGGGGCCAUAAUUUCAGCCCUUUCUCUCUCUCUCUCUACAAGGUCGCCGCUCCAGCCACAGCUCCACCACCCACUUUGUUUGAACGAACAUUCAUCUGAAUCGUAGUAAACUGAUCUUCGUCAAUCGGGAUUGUUCUUCUGUGUUCUGAGAAAGAAUGAGAAUGGUAUCCAUAGUGGAUUAGAGCAGGAUCAGAAGCUCACUGCUUCCGUCGCAAUCCAGCGACUUAUCCACCACGAAACAUUUGAAUAUCCACACCAUCAUGGUUUAGAUCGGAACUGGUGACUGUAUACGUGUGUUUGUUUUGUAUACCGUAUGUACGCAAAUUGGGCAUGCAAUGUAAUACCAAUUCUCUUUGUGAGAAUUUCUAUUAUAUUGGUGUUGGACAUGAAAGCUUUUCCCAAUAAUGCAUUCAAAGUCAUGCCUAAAUUGCUACCGCGUUGCGUGAGAAAAAAAUAUCACAUUCCUGUUGCGAGCGCGGGGAAAAACUAAGCUAUAAUAAUAAGUGGUGAUUGGUCAUUUGAACGGUCUUGUAUUGUGGCUGUGAUGUUGCUCUGCCAUUUGGCAUGGCAACUUAUGUUGUAGCCAUGGCUGAUCCGAGCCAUCAAUUUUGGAUUUUGGCUCGAUGAUGGCGCGUUUAGGCGCAUCCAAGGGUUUCUUGGUCCGCCCUAUGAUGGCGAUGGGAGCAUACCUUGAUUAUUUCAUUUUGCAGUUUAGAGUUUAGGCUAUGGGGUUAGAGAUGCUGGUGCACUCAUCUUGAAUCCUAAUCAUGUUGAGGCUCAAGCUGCAUUUAUAACAAAGCAUGUUUUCACUCUUAUAGGUAUUGUAAUGAAAUUCAUGUUGGGCCUAUGGGUCAUCCAUUUAGAUCAUGUCAAGGCACAAAUUCUUCACUCCGCAAGGGAACCCACAAGUGAGUAGACGUUGUUGUAGUGGACGUAAUAGUUCAAGCCGAAGCGUAUAAUUGUUUGGGAAAACGUAUCCCACACGAAGAAAGAUUUUCAGUCUGUAGAAUCCCCACACUUAACAGAGCUAUGCAUCCAAGCAGGAGUCGAUAUACCUGAAUACCCAACCCCACAAAAAGAAGAAAACCCAUAAACCGAAUCAAUAAAAGGGAGUUUCUUGAUGGAAAUGAAAGUGAACAUGAAUUCCCUUCUUGUAACAACAUAUAUCAUGAUAACACGACAAAAAAAAAACAUAUUGUAAAUCGCGCAACGCGCGACGAUGAAGAACACUAGUUAUAUUAUUAAUUGAACUAUUGAUCUCAAGAUCCA